UACGUAGGGUGCAAGCGUUAAUCGGAAUUACUGGGCGUAAAGCGUGCGCAGGCGGUUUUGUAAGUCUGACGUGAAAUCCCCGGGCUCAACCUGGGAAUUGCGUUGGAGACUGCAAGGCUGGAGUCUGGCAGAGGGGGGUAGAAUUCCACGUGUAGCAGCGAAAUGCGUAGAGAUGUGGAGGAACACCGAUGGCGAAGGCAGCCCCCUGGGCCGAUACUGACGCUCAGGCACGAAAGCGUGGGGAGCAAACAGG
rnacentral:rRNA from 1 species